GUCAACUACCGCACACUGACCCUAACGGGUACAGUGUGGGCUUGAAUAAAGCUUGUUGACCAGACGGCUAGAAAAAUCUAGCAGCCGUUAGUGCCAAGAGUUAAAGUUCGUACCUUGGGAUGCGUGCCAGUUCCAAGCUCUACAACCGGGUAAUUAAACAGGCCAUACGGGAAAGCCAGUGUUAUUCGGAAAGUACCGAGCACUAACACCGUCGAGGCAAACCUUAC
rfam:Lyngbya majuscula 3L genomic scaffold scf45985, whole genome shotgun sequence.